CCUACGGGUGGCAGCAGUGAGGAAUAUUGGUCAAUGGGCGAGAGCCUGAACCAGCCAAGUCGCGUGAAGGAUGACGGCCCUACGGGUUGUAAACUUCUUUUGUCAGGGAGCAAUUGGGUCCACGCGUGGGCUUAGCGAGAGUACCUGAAGAAAAAGCAUCGGCAAACUCCGUGCCAGCAGCCGCGGUAAUACGGAGGAUGCGGGGUUUAUCCGGAUUAAUUGGGUUUAAAGGGUGCGUGGGGGGAAAAUAAAGUCAGCGGUAAAAAUUCGGGUCUCACCCCCGUCGUGCCGUUGAAACUGAUGUUCUUGAGUGGGCGAGAAGUAUGCGGAAUGCGUGGUGUAGCGGUGAAAUGCAUAGAUAUCACGCAGAACUCCGAUUGCGAAGGCAGCAUACCGGCGCACAACUGACGCUGAAGCACGAAAGCGUGGGUAUCGAACAGGAUUAGAUACCCCUGUAGUC
rnacentral:rRNA from 1 species